GGCAGCGAGUAGAUUGCUUGCAAUCUACGUCGGCGACCGGCGCACGGGUGCGUAACGCGUAUGCAACCUACCCAUUACAGGGGGAUAACACUGAGAAAUCGGUACUAAUACCCCAUAACAUCCAGGGAGGCAUCUUCUUGGGUUGAAAACUCCGGUGGUAAUGGAUGGGCAUGCGUUGUAUUAGUUAGUUGGUGGGGUAACGGCUCACCAAGACGACGAUACAUAGGGGGACUGAGAGGUUAACCCCCCACAUUGGUACUGAGACACGGACCAAACUCCUACGGGAGGCAGCAGUGAGGAAUAUUGGUCAAUGGACGCAAGUCUGAACCAGCCAAGUAGCGUGCAGGAUGACGGCCCUCCGGGUUGUAAACUGCUUUUAGUUGGGAAUAAAAGGGGGCUCGUGAGCCCCGUAUUGUAUGUACCAUCAGAAAAAGGACCGGCUAAUUCCGUGCCAGCAGCCGCGGUAAUACGGAAGGUCCGGGCGUUAUCCGGAUUUAUUGGGUUUAAAGGGAGCGUAGGCCGGUCUUUAAGCGUGCCGUGAAAUUUUGUGGCUCAACCAUGAGAGUGCGGCGCGAACUGGAGACCUUGAGUGCGCGGAAGGCAGGCGGAAUUCGUGGUGUAGCGGUGAAAUGCUUAGAUAUCACGAAGAACCCCGAUUGCGAAGGCAGCCUGCCGCAGCGUUACUGACGCUGAAGCUCGAAAGCGCGGGUAUCGAACAGGAUUAGAUACCCUGGUAGUCCGCGCGGUAAACGAUGGAUGCCCGCUGUCGGCGAUAUACAGUCGGCGGCCAAGCGAAAGCGUUAAGCAUCCCACCUGGGGAGUACGCCGGCAACGGUGAAACUCAAAGGAAUUGACGGGGGCCCGCACAAGCGGAGGAACAUGUGGUUUAAUUCGAUGAUACGCGAGGAACCUUACCCGGAUC
rnacentral:rRNA from 1 species